rfam:Spiroplasma kunkelii CR2-3x, complete genome.
ACCAUAGUCAUCAAAAUACCAUAGACAGCAACGGAUUUUAUUAAAUCUUAAUUAUGUUGCCGAGGCAUUAUUGAGAUAUAGAACAAUGACAUGUUUUUAUAUUAUUUA